rnacentral:rRNA from 1 species
GAUGAACGCUGGCGGCGUGCCUAAUACAUGCAAGUCGAGCGAACGGACGAGAAGCUUGCUUCUCUGAUGUUAGCGGCGGACGGGUGAGUAACACGUGGAUAACCUACCUAUAAGACUGGGAUAACUUCGGGAAACCGGAGCUAAUACCGGAUAAUAUUUUGAACCGCAUGGUUCAAAAGUGAAAGACGGUCUUGCUGUCACUUAUAGAUGGAUCCGCGCUGCAUUAGCUAGUUGGUAAGGUAACGGCUUACCAAGGCAACGAUGCAUAGCCGACCUGAGAGAGUGAUCGGCCACACUGGAACUGAGACACGGUCCAGAGUCCUACGGGAGGCAGCAGUAGGGAACCUGCCGCAAUGGGCGAAAGCCUGACGGAGCAACGCCGCGUGAGUGAUGAAGGUCUUCGGAUCGUAAAACUCUGUUAUUAGUGAAGAACAUAUGUGUAAGUAACUGUGCACAGCGUGACGGUAAUUAAUCAGAAAGCCACGGCUAACUACGUG